AGCGAACGCUGGCGGCAGGCCUAACACAUGCAAGUCGAACGAAGUCUUCGGACUUAGUGGCGGACGGGUGAGUAACACGUGGGAACGUACCUUUUGGUUCGGAACAACUCAGGGAAACUUGAGCUAAUACCGGAUGAGCCCUUAGGGGGAAAGAUUUAUCGCCGAAAGAGCGGCCCGCGUUAGAUUAGCUAGUUGGUGAGGUAAAGGCUCACCAAGGCUACGAUCUAUAGCUGGUCUGAGAGGAUGAUCAGCCACACUGGGACUGAGACACGGCCCAGACUCCUACGGGAGGAAGCAGUGGGGAAUCUAGCGCAAUGGGCGAAAGCCUGACGCAGCCAUGCCGCGUGAAUGAUGAAGGUCUUAGGAUUGUAAAAUUCUUUUACCAGGGACGAUAAUGACGGUACCUGGAGAAAGAGCCCCGGCUAACUUCGUGCCAGCCGCCGCAGUAACAC
rnacentral:rRNA from 1 species